AAGUGAGUUUCUUCGGAAAAUUGUCGCCCUUUUAUAUUCUAAUUCGAGCUUUGGUGCUGCCAUUCAAAUUUGUAGAAUUUUAUUGAAAAUAAUGAGCCUUGGCAGCAUUUUUCUUCCAGCUGCUUAGCUUUCAUAUGAUUGUUUGUUGUUGUCGGUAUAUAUGUUUGUCUCUUUUUCACUUAUUGGAUCUAUUGGGAAUUAUAAAAUAUUAAAUUAUUAAUAAAUUAUUAACAUUUUUUAUAAUUUAUUAUAAAAUUAUUGUUCCCCAACUAAAUAUUUGUAUUGUGAAUAAGUUUUUUAAUCUCGGUUUAUAAAGUUGUAUCGUCAAAACAACUUUGUUUAUUCGCGCAUGUUUACAAGUGACGUUUAACUUUAUUUGUUUAUUUUAUUCGUGAAAUAUUUGUGUUUUGUUUAAUUUUUUAUUGUAAAAAUAUUAAAAGAUUGUUAAAUUAAUUAAAUUUAAUGUGUAUUUGUUCGGGGACAUAAAUUUAUAAGUGAAAUUUUAGUAAAAAUAAUAUGUGUACUUUGUUCCAACUCCCUUAUUAGGCAAUUGGAUUUUGCUGGUGCUCCAAUGGACAUAAAUUUGCAAUUUUUUUUUUAUUUACAUUGCAUUUAUAAAAUAGGGAUUGAAGCUGAAUAUUAAGAAUUUUUAUUAAUUUUAAGUUUAGAAUUAAGUUAGAUUAAGAAUUUAAAAUGUGAUAUGUAAUAUGUGAUCUUAAAAAAAAAUGAAAAACAA